rnacentral:rRNA from 1 species
GACGAACGCUGGCGGCGUGCCUAAUACAUGCAAGUAGAACGCACAGUUUAUACCGUAGCUUGCUACACCAUAGACUGUGAGUUGCGAACGGGUGAGUAACGCGUAGGUAACCUGCCUGGUAGCGGGUGAUAACUAUUGGAAACGAUAGCUAAUACCGCAUAAUAUUAAUUAUUGCAUGAUAAUUAAUUGAAAGGUGCAAUUGCACCACUACCAGAUGGACCUGCGUUGUAUUAGCUAGUAGGUGAGGUAACGGCUCACCUAGGCGACGAUACAUAGCCGACCGCAGCGGGUGAGCGGCCGGGAUGGGAUGGGGAAGUGGCCCAGUCUCCGGCGGGAGGCAGCAGUAGGGAAUCUUCGGGAAGUGGCGAGAGGCAGACUGAGCAACGCAGCGUCAGGGAAGAAGGUUGGCGGAUGGUAAAGCACUGUUGUAGGAGAAGAAUGGGUGUGAGGGUGGAGGGGGCACACUGUGACGGUACCGUAGAAGAAAGGGACGGCUAACGAGGUG